UUUAAAGACUCUAGAAAGAGUUGUUUUCUUGAAGACAUUAGAGAGCAAGCAUCACAACUCAAUGGUAUAAUUUGUUUGCAAGAGAAACUUCUCUACAGUAUCUCUCGUGAGGAAAAAUAAAAUAUGUAGUUCGAGAGAAGGAUCAAGAUUGAUACAAGAAAGACUUGGAAACAUAGAUACUCUUCUCAUUCUUGAUGACGUGGGCGAACGUACCCAAUUGGAUGCAUUGGUUGGUGAACUCAAUUGCCUUGGUCCUGGAAGUAAGAUAAUAAUAACAACUAGAGAUCAGAGUGUUCUAAGUGGAAUUCCUGAAAAUAAUAGGAAAAUAUACGAGCCAACAGAAUUAAAUAAGAAAGAGAGUCUUCAACUGUUCAGUUCCUAUGCUUUUGCAACAGACCAACUUCCUGAUGAUUAUAUGCAGCUUUCAACUGACAUGGUACACACUACAGGAGGGCUCCCUUUAGCCUUGGAGGUUUUGGGGUCUGAUUUAUCAAUCAAUAAAGAUAAAGAAGUAUGGAAAAGCAUGCAUCGGAUAUUGGAACAAAUUCCUCAUAAUGAUUUCUAUGGAAAUUAAAGAUAAGUUAUGAUAAUCUUCAAGAUGAUAUUGAGAAAGCCAUGUUUCUUGAUGCUGCUUGUUUUUUCAUAGGUUGGGAAGAAGAAACCAUAAUUUCCAUAUGGGAAGCUUGUGGCUUUGAACCGUGGUACCGUAUAGAAGUU